UACGAAGGGGGCUAGCGUUGUUCGGAAUUACUGGGCGUAAAGCGCACGUAGGCGGAUAUUUAAGUCAGGGGUGAAAUCCCAGAGCUCAACUCUGGAACUGCCUUUGAUACUGGGUAUCUUGAGUAUGGAAGAGGUAAGUGGAAUUGCGAGUGUAGAGGUGAAAUUCGUAGAUAUUCGCAAGAACACCAGUGGCGAAGGCGGCUCACUGGCCCGGUACUGACGCUGAGGUGCGAAAGCGUGGGGAGCAAACAGGG
rnacentral:rRNA from 1 species